UUCAAUUGUUUGCCUGCUGACCUCCUGAAAGCUGAAAGGAGCAGGCUCCUGGCGGGUGACAUUGUGAUGACCUCAUGAUGGGAAAAGACAGGGAUGUGCAUGCUGCGAGGGGAAGUGAAGCCGCCUACUCCCAGGGUUCGAGGCCAUGGAGGGCCAGUGUUGAAGAGGUGUGAAAGACUGGGAUAGAUCUGCUUGUCUAACACCAUGCCCAGAUAAUACAUUUACAGCCUGGCUCCCUUCACUUCAAGGAAGACUUGACUCGUCUCCAAGAAAUGGCGGGAUACUGGUCCCACUGGACCUUUGAUGGAAAUUGAUCUUGGCGCAGGCUUUGAGAGACUUGCUAUGUGAUGACUGCUCAGGGGAAGUGUCAUUUUCACACGUGCUCUCAGUCUGUCGGUAUGAACACAGUGUUUGUCUGUCUGUCCACAUGGUUCACAGGCCUGGGAAAGUGGGAGAGAGUUUGUCUUGUUUCUCACCCUACUAAUCCAUGGGAAGAAAAGGGUCCAGCAAUUCCAAUGAGUUACUUUCGUUAAGAUUGACAUUAUUAUGUUGUUGAUCGUAGGGCCUUUAGUAAAUGGGCUUGGUAUUUUGUUAUUUGUUAUAUACAUUUUAAAAGUCUGGGCCUCAUUAGCUGGUAUAACAUUGAUUUGGGAAAACCACUCAGGAAAGAAUCUGAUCCAAUGGGAGUUCCUCUGUUCCUUGGUUGGUUUGAAACCUGUUUGUGGUGUCUAAACUGACAGCUUAGCCUCCAGGAUUUUCCAGGUUCCGUCAAAUAUUAUCGCCCGACACCACUGGUAUGUCCGGAAUCCAUGUAUGGGCGCGCCACUUGGCUCCGUC